UUCUGAUGAUACUAAUAACAGUGGGAGUGUUCAAGAAAUGGGUCCUAAAUUAGAUACCAUUAUUCUACCAGCAGGGGGAGAUCGGAGGCUGUGUCUUCAUCUCAAAUGCACACCAUUGAGGUCCCUCAGUACGCUGUAACACCAAGGAAAGAGAAGUGCUAUGAUGAUGAACAGUACCCUAGCAACGAUCACAUAUACGGUAACAUGGAGAGUGAAUGGGCAACAGAUGAUGAUGCAAUAUAUGCCAAUACAUAACAUAAACAAGAACAUUGCUGAAUGCUUCAGCAGAACUGCUGCAGUGCCUCUAUGUGUCCU